rnacentral:rRNA from 1 species
UGUCUGGGAAACUGCCUGGUGGAGGGGGAUAACUACUGGAAACGGUAGCUAAUACCGCAUAACGUCGCAAGACCAAAGAGGGGGACCUUCGGGCCUCUUGCCAUCAGAUGUGCCCAGAUGGGAUUAGCUAGUAGGUGGGGUAAUGGCUCACCUAGGCGACGAUCCCUAGCUGGUCUGAGAGGAUGACCAGCCACACUGGAACUGAGACACGGUCCAGACUCCUACGGGAGGCAGCAGUGGGGAAUAUUGCACAAUGGGCGCAAGCCUGAUGCAGCCAUGCCGCGUGUGUGAAGAAGGCCUUCGGGUUGUAAAGCACUUUCAGCGAGGAGGAAGGUGGUGAACUUAAUACGUUCAUCAAUUGACGUUACUCGCAGAAGAAGCACCGGCUAACUCCGUGCCAGCAGCCGCGGUAAUACGGAGGGUGCAGCGUUAAUCGGAAUUACUGGGCGUAAAGCGCACGCAGGCGGUUUGUUAAGUCAGAUGUGAAAUCCCCGGGCUCAACCUGGGAACUGCAUUUGAAACUGGCAAGCUAGAGUCUCGUAGAGGGGGGUAGAAUUCCAGGUGUAGCGGUGAAAUGCGUAGAGAUCUGGAGGAAUACCGGUGGCGAAGGCGGCCCCCUGGACGAAGACUGACGCUCAGGUGCGAAAGCGUGGGGAGCAAACAGGAUUAGAUACCCUGGUAGUCCACGCUGUAAACGAUGUCGAUUUGGAGGUUGUGCCCUGAGGCGUGGCUUCCGGAGCUAACGCGUUAAAUCGACCGCCUGGGGAGUACGGCCGCAAGGUUAAAACUCAAAUGAAUUGACGGGGGCCCGCACAAGCGGUGGAGCAUGUGGUUUAAUUCGAUGCAACGCGAAGAACCUUACCUACUCUUGACAUCCAGAGAACUUUCCAGAGAUGGAUUGGUGCCUUCGGGAACUUUGAGACAGGUGCUGCAUGGCUGUCGUCAGCUCGUGUUGUGAAAUGUUGGGUUAAGUCCCGCAACGAGCGCAACCCUUAUCCUUUGUUGCCAGCGGUUCGGCCGGGAACUCAAAGGAGACUGCCAGUGAUAAACUGGAGGAAGGUGGGGAUGACGUCAAGUCAUCAUGGCCCUUACGAGUAGGGCUACACACGUGCUACAAUGGCGUAUACAAAGAGAAGCGACCUCGCGAGAGCAAGCGGACCUCAUAAAAUACGUCGUAGUCCGGAUUGGAGUCUGCAACUCGACUCCAUGAAGUCGGAAUCGCUAGUCAUCGUAGAUCAGAAUGCUACAGGGAAAACAUUUGAGUUCUUUCCCCGCUCCGUCAGUCGCAAAAAGGGAACCCAGUUGAGUUUGAUCCGGCUCAGU